rnacentral:rRNA from 1 species
GACGAACGCUGGCGGCGUGCUUAACACAUGCAAGUCGAACGGACAGGCCCUGCUUUUGUGGGGUGCUCGUGUGGCGAACGGGUGAGUAACACGUGAGUAACCUGCCCUUGACUUUGGGAUAACUUCAGGAAACUGGGGCUAAUACCGGAUAUGAGCUCCUGCUGCAUGGUGGGGGUUGGAAAGUUUCGGCGGUUGGGGAUGGACUCGCGGCUUAUCAGCUUGUUGGUGGGGUAGUGGCUUACCAAGGCUUUGACGGGUAGCCGGCCUGAGAGGGGGACCGGCGACAUUGGGACUGAGAUACGGCCCAGACUCGUACGGGAGGCAGUAGUGGGGAACAUUGCAGAAUGGGCGGAAGCCUGAUGCAGCAACGCCGCGUGCGGGAUGACGGCUUUCGGGUUGUAAACCGCUUUCGCCGGUGACGAAGCGUGAGUGACGGUAAUGGGUAAAGAAGCAACGGCUAACUACGUG